GUUUGGUCUCUUCUCAUGUCUCCGGGUCGACCUGAUGAACUUUGCUGAAUCUGGUGCCUAAUAUAGGGGAAAUCUUACAGAUCUGGGGGCUCGUCCGGGAUACAUCUGAUCAGAUUUUGGGGGCCCCCUCAGCACAGACGACACCUCUACAGCUGCAAUUCACCUCUACAGCUGCACAAUUGCGUUUGGGAGACAGAUGGGAGCUAAACACGUAGCACUGUCUACCUUAAGGCAAGGGUCAGCAUGACUUCCUUUUUGCUGCGGACAAUUGGACUGUUUCUCUUUCUUGUUGCUCAAGCUAAUGCAGCCAGGCUGAAACGCUGGACACAUGAUCAUGAAUUUGGAUGGGCAGAGGAUGGGGCUGACAAUCCAACUGAAAUAAUAUGUGGUAUCAAUAUGUGAAAGUUUUAGCUAGGUCAUAUAAUGUAUCUGGUUGUUAUGUAUGUUCUGUUAUGCCUCAUUCAGCCAAGCAAACCCCUCUUUAUGCUAAACCCAUGAAUAAAACAGCUGCUAAAUGUUUUGCCAGUUUUGCAGGAUCAGGGUACCAGGACCCAUAUAUAUAAUUGUCGAUGACUAUGAUCCAUACCGGAUUGGCAUUAGAAAUGGUACAUGUGAUGCUCUAUUUUGGGUAAAAUUUGGCCAUGCUAAACCCUCACCUAUUAGCCACAAGGUUUUUAUUAACCACUCUAUUACACACCCUGUGUGUUAUAACCAGACCAUGGGCUCUCAUUUCAUGGGAAGCACUGUUAACUGUCAACAAAUUGCCUCCUCGGGAGAGGGGGCCCCAGUCGACAUCUCAGGACCCUCAAAUGGCACUUAUGUGGUCCAGGGUGGGUGAUGGUUGUGUGGGAAAAAACGCCUACAUGUCAUUACCGGCCAACUGGACGGGGCAGUGUGCCCCUGUGCAUGUGACUGAUCACACUUUUAUUGUGACAGCCCAGGUCCUGUCAGCGCAGCAAAGAGUUAAACGCAGUGUCCCUGAAAUGAAGCCUCAUGACUCUGUAUGGGGUACUGAUGUGCCCGAGGAUUUAAAAUUAUGGACCACUGGUAACAAAGUGGUAUUGGCUCUAUUUCCGCAAAUAGGUGUGGGAAAAGCUCUACUAAGAAUUGAGACCCUGGACUAUCGCAUGGGCCUAUUUCUGAAUGCCUCAAAAAUAAUUAAUGAGGCCCAGAAUAAGGAGCUGGGUAAUCUACGUACCAUGGUUUUGCAAAACAGAAUGGCUCUAGAUCUCUUAGCAGCAUCCCAGGGGGCGGUAUGUAAAUGAGUACUGCUAUGUCUACUCUCCAAGGGUUAAAAAUUGCUAUGACUUCUGAUUAUGUCCCAGACACCACAUGGGGUUGGAUGAUGGGUCUGUUCGGCUGGGUGACUCCUUUCCUUACUAUGAUAAUUCCUGUAUGUAUUAUUUUCCUUCUUGUUUGUUGUUGUGGUCCUUUUCUCUUGCAAUGUUUAAUGAAUCGAAUCUAUGCCACAAUGGACAGUAUGAUGGGUCAACGAUAUGAUAAGAUUCCUCUGUGUUAGGCCUUUGGCCUAAAAGAGGGGACUGAGAGAACAUUUUGUCCUCUUUUAAGUGUGCUUGCAUGAGAAGCAGAAGUGUCUGUGGUUUUUUGUGUGUGUGUGUGUGCAUCGGAGGUCUGAAGGUCAACGUCUGGUUUCGGUCUUGCAGACAGCUCCCACACUGAAUGGAAAGCCCCGCUAUAUAUACAUUUCUUCUUUAUUCUGUUUGUAUAACAUGCCCAUAUUAAGAGUGUCUUCCUUCUUCUGUAUAACUUUUAAAGGUCAGCCCACUAUGUAUAUAUGUCCCUGCUCAUCCUUAUCAUCAGGCUUGCAGAAUAAACCAUUCUAACUACA
ensembl:lincRNA